CCCUUAGACGUUCUGGGCCGCACGCGCGCUACACUGACCAGUGCAACAAGCAUCCGUCCUUGGCCGACAGGCCCGGGCAAUCUUUGAACGCUGGUCGUGAUGGGGAUAGACUUUUGCAAUUUUUGGUCUUCAACGAGGAAUUCCUAGUAAACGCAAGUCAUCAACUUGCAUUGAUUACGUCCCUGCCCUUUGUACACACCGCCCGUCGCACCUACCGAUUGAAUGUUUCGGUGAAGAUUCCGGACUGUGUUUUUACUGCUUCACGGCGGUUUGAACGUGGGAAGUUAUCUAAACCUCAACAUUUAGAGGAAGGUGAAGUCGUANCA
rnacentral:rRNA from 1 species